rnacentral:rRNA from 1 species
UACGUAGGUGGCAAGCGUUGUCCGGAUUUAUUGGGUUUAAAGGGUGCGUAGGCGGCCUAUUAAGUCAGUGCUGAAAUAUCCCGGCUUAACCGGGAGGGUGGCAUUGAUACUGAUGGGCUUGAGUAGAGUUGAGGUUGGCGGAAUUGACGGUGUAGCGGUGAAAUGCUUAGGUAUCGUCAAGAACACCUAUUGCGAAGGCAGCUAACUAAGCUCAAACUGACGCUGAGGCACGAAAGUGUGGGGAUCAAACAGG